ensembl:snRNA U6 U6 spliceosomal RNA
GUGCUUACUCUGGCAGCACAUAGACUAAAAUUGGAACAAUACAAAGACGAUUAGCAUGGGCCCUUGUGCAAGAAUGAUAUGCAAAUUUGUGAGGGGUUCCAUAUAUUU